GGCAACCUGGCCGAGCGGUUAAGGCGCUACGUUCAGGUCACAAGAUCUUCGUAGUCUCGAAAGGGGCGUGUGUUCGAAUCACACGGUUGUCA